AUUGAACGCUGGCGGCAGGCCUAACACAUGCAAGUCGAGCGGAAGAAGGGAGCUUGCUCCUGGAUUCAGCGGCGGACGGGUGAGUAAUGCCUAGGAAUCUGCCUGGUAGUGGGGGAUAACGUCCGGAAACGGGCGCUAAUACCGCAUACGUCCUGAGGGAGAAAGUGGGGGAUCCUCGGACCUCACGCUAUCAGAUGAGCCUAGGUCGGAUUAGCUAGUUGGUGGGGUAAAGGCCUACCAAGGCGACGAUCCGUAACUGGUCUGAGAGGACGAUCAGUCACACUGGAACUGAGACACGGUCCAGACUCCUACGGGAGGCAGCAGUGGGGAAUAUUGGACAAUGGGCGAAAGCCUGAUCCAGCCAUGCCGCGUGUGUGAAGAAGGUCUUCGGAUUGUAAAGCACUUUAAGUUGGGAGGAAGGGCAGUAAGUUAAUACCUUGCUGUUUUGACGUUACCAACAGAAUAAGCACCGGCUAACUUCGUG
rnacentral:rRNA from 1 species